rnacentral:rRNA from 1 species
GACGGAGGGGGCAAGCGUUGUUCGGAAUUACUGGGCGUAAAGGGCUCGUAGGUGGCCAACUAAGUCAGACGUGAAAUCCCUCGGCUUAACCGGGGAACUGCGUCUGAUACUGGAUGGCUUGAGUUUGGGAGAGGGACGCGGAAUUCCAGGUGUAGCGGUGAAAUGCGUAGAUAUCUGGAGGAACACCGGUGGCGAAGGCGGCGUCCUGGACCAACACUGACACUGAUGAGCGAAAGCCAGGGGAGCAAACGGG